CUCUGACCAGUGAUGGGAUGAGUGCUUUUAUUAGAUCAAAACCAAUCGACGGAGGGCCUCGCGUCCGAAGUCGUUAAUUUUGAUGAAUCUGGAUAACUUUUGCCGAUCGCAUGGUCCAGUACCGGCGACGCAUCUUUCAAAUGUCUGCCUUAUCAACUUUCGAUGGUAGUUUCUGCGACUACCAUGGUUGUCACGGGUAACGGGGAAUCAGGGUUCGAUUCCGGAGAGGGAGCCUGAGAAACGGCUACCACAUCCAAGGAAGGCAGCAGGCGCGCAAAUUACCCACUCCCGGCACGGGGAGGUAGUGACGAAAAAUAACGAUACGGGACUCUUACGAGGCCUCGUAAUCGGAAUGAGUACACUUUAAAUAUUUUAACGAGGAACAAUUGGAGGGCAAGUCUGGUGCCAGCAGCCGCGGUAAUUCCAGCUCCAAUAGCGUAUACUAAAAUUGUUGCGGUUAAAAAGCUCGUAGUUGCAUUUGUGCGCCGCGCUGUCGGUGCACCGCAUCCGCGGUGAUACUGACACGUCUGCGGAGCAUAUCGUCGGUGAGCCGUCGGUUAAACGUCGGUUCAAUAUCAAAAUCCUAUCGCGGUGCUCUUCAAUGANUGUCGAGGUGGGCCGACAAUUUUACUUUGAACAAAUUAGAGUGCUCAAAGCGGGCUCAAAAUGCUGCUUGAAUAUUUCGUGCAUGGAAUAAUAGAAUAUGAUCUCGGUUUCAUUUUGUUGGUUUUCAGAACUCCGAGGGUAUGAUUAAAAAGGGAUAACUGGGGGCAUUCGUAUUGCGACGUUAAAAGUGAAAUUCUUGGAUCGCCCCCAAACGAAAAUCCGCGAAAGCAUUUUCCCGAGGGAUUUUUCCACCAUCCAAAAACAGAAAUUGAAAGUUUCGGAAGGCGAUUUAAUACCGCGCCCAAUUUCAACCCCUAAGUAUGUGCACCUAGCCGAUUCCCCGAACUUUACUACAUAGGGCCCGGGCCGGGCAACUUUCCGAGGAACCCCAAAGUUUUUGGAACCUCGGGGGGGGGGUAUUGUUUGACACGCUGGAAAAAUUUUUAAAUUAUCGGGUGGGAGAGGGCGUCCCCCCCUGAGGGGUGUUGGAUCCCCAGCCGUCCUUUUAAGUGUUUGAGGCGAAGUCAUCCGGCGGAAAUUAGCUUGCACCCGAGGCAACCGACGCACCCCACUGCCGGACAGUAGCACGUUGUGGUUUGGCGGCGAUUAUGGAUGCCCGCGCUGGUGUGUUC
rnacentral:rRNA from 1 species